UCUCGCUCACCUCUCACCUCUCGUCCCUCUCCCACCAACCCGCCCACCCUCUCUGAAACUUUCCCCUCUCUCGCUCGUCUCGCCCUCUCCCCUGCACCACUCAUCGUCGCCACCUAUGGCGCCCGAUGUCGCCCAAUUCUGGCACCAUCCGAUGGUGCCCAGCCCACCCACAGCUUCCUCUCGCUAUGCUCUUUAUUAUCCACCGCAUCGAUUUGAUUUACCCCGUAUCAUGUGGUCGCCGACAUCACUUCCACUUUCUAGGGUUUUGGUGGUGGGGUGGACCUCAUCGUCUAUCUCCUGCUCGACCUCGUGGCGGUGGUGAUAGCACGUGUGAGAUGCUCCUCCCCGACAAGGUCGUAGCUGGAUCCCCUUCUUUCCACCGCAGGAUCCGCUCCUCUCCCACGAGGCCGCUGCCGGAUCCCCUCCUCUCCGACAGCAACGCCUACAAAUCCGCUCGUCCUCGACAACAGCAGCCAACUUCGAAGUGGCCGAUCCUCUCCCCAUCGCCGCCGCCCAUGAGGAUCCAGGUCGCCCACGCCGCUUCCCAUCUCUCGCCGCUCUAGAUCUAUGUCGUGUUGGCAGAACGAACUCCCCAAAGCGCUCUUCAUGGUGCUCAUGCUCAUCAUGCCUGCCAUCCCGCAGGACGACGACUACCACGACUUCGCUGACUUGCGGUCCCUCCUCCUCGACGCAAUUAGAGCUUGAUGUGGGAGAUUGGGGAACAGGUGAAGCGUUGGUUUGGCCGAGUUAUGUUCUGUUGGCGUGCUUUUUGGUUACUGCUACACCAAGCAAAUGUUUCCGAUUGGUCAGCAAUGGGAGACUCUUCCAUUGAGGAGACCGAGGAUCUGGCUGGAUUUGUGCGUCUCCGAUCUGAUGCGUUUGUGCACGCAUGUGUUGAAUAGUGUCCUCGGAUCUGGUGUAGGGCGCCAAGGAGAAGAAGCUCAAGGUCAAGGGCUCUGUCAGGAUGGCCACCAAGGUGCUCAACAUCACCACCAGGAAGUCCCCAUAUGGAGAAGGUAGCCACCUCCCUCUGUUUUCCCUUCCACUCGAUCCCAUUUGCUUGGUAGCUCUGCAUAGAAUCUAGUCCAUCUAGUCCUUGACAUGCUCACAGUAGCUCGUCGGUGAUGUGGGUCGCUAUGUUUUUUUGGAUACCUGACUGUUUAGGGAAUUUCUGUGACGAUGAUGAUGUCGUAUUGAGCAAAGGAUGUGAAACAUUUAGACGGCUGCGGCCUUUUCGAUCUUUGAUGAUCUAAAAUCGAGCUAUUUAAAACUGAUGCCUAGCAUGCCAUCAAUGUGUUUUUAUUCCUCAUCUAGAGAUGCAACUCUGUGUGUUGGUGUGAUAUAAUGUAGAGGAGUUGGAUGUGAAUCAUUUGUGAGCUGAGCAUAUGAUGUUACAGGGAGAUGCUACUGAGAUUUUACGUCGUUGAAGUAUCUUAAACCGAGCUUCUUAAAACUGAUCUUGGUUGAUCUAGUUCUAGUAUAUUAGUUGGGUGAGAGUCUAUUGUUGUUGGUGUUGUGUAGUCAUUUCUUUUUACGUCGUUGAAGAAUAAAAAAGAUGAGCAUUUCUCCAGCCAAUGUCUGAAGUAGUUGUUGUCGUGUAGUCAGAUGAACUUAUGCAUUUCAUUAGAAGUCUGAUAUAGAUUGGACUAUACUUCUGAAUAGAAUGAAACAUUUCACUUUCGUUUAUAUUUCUUCAAUUCUUUUGAUCGAACAACUCUCUUGAACACAUGUACGUUAGUGCAGUGAUGGCUAAACAACUACAGUAGAUCGACAUUUUUGUAUUUCUCAACCUUGGGUAUUUUGCCAAAAAUAAACCCUUAGAUUUGUUGUCAUUCCUUUGAUAAUAAUUUGUUGUGUCUGUUAAGUAUUUUUUAGGAGUAAUAAACCUGGCUCUUUCAUGUUGCAACCCAACAGCUGCACCCAUGUUUUUCUGCGUACUACACAUAUUUGCUCCACUGCUCUUAGUUUUAACUAGCCAAGGCAAGGAUGACGCCCACCAUCGCUGUUAGAUUUAUUAUCCAUGUUGGACUUUUUUCGUUUAUGCUUGCCCACAAUUUAAAUGUCUUCUCAUGGCAUUAUUUAUCGAACAAGGGAUUGCUACCUGUCCCCAACUUGAUUGAGUUAGGCUUCGGUUUGCAUGUCUCUUUCAGCUUGCAGGAUUAGUGUUACUGCAAGUAAUCCACUUUUUUUGUAAUGGAUGGUGGUGACAUUAUUUAAGCCAUUGUAGAGUUUUUGAUAGGGUUAAACAUUUGGAAAGAUAGAUCCAUUUAACCUUGCAGUACCAGUGUCUGCAAGCAUUGGCUAUUGUUAGUAAAAUGUUGAGCUCUUCCUUUA